rnacentral:lncRNA from 1 species
UUUUGGUAAUGGUGUGUUGUACCGUAGGCUUAAAUUGUUUUUGGUGUAUCACUUUGUUGCAAGGUGUGUUAAAUUAGUUGUAAUAUUUUCUAAACCUUACACGUGUGUAUGACCUGUAUUUGAUGAUUUGGUGGAUGAGUCUCAGUGAUACACGCGUCAUAAGAGAGAGAAAGGGAGAGAAAUUGUAUUAGUAGACCUAAUAAAACCCUUUCUUCCCUGAAUCUUCUUCUCCUCCGAGUCCACUCCACACCAAAAGGAGCUCGUCAGCCGCUGAAAUCGUGUGUUUUCCGGCGAAAUAGCGGAGGUUAUAAAGGGGCGAUGAGAGGGGGCUUGGGGAUUACAGAUAUUUGAGGCGCAAGUGCUUAUAGAUCUGAGCUGAGGUGGUCGGAACCCCCGAGUUCAACUGCACCACAAUCAUCACCGUCGCCGGAACCAGCUCAAAGCACGUGCAUCCUUUUGGUGCUAUGUAUGUUUAUGUAGCAGGGAAGGGAAUUACUGUGUGCUUUAUUUGGAUCGAUAAGUAGAGUAACUGAUUUUCGUUGCAAUUUAGUCUUCUAUUCAAACCUAUAUUUAUUGUAUAGAUAUGUGAAUCCUUUUAAGAAUUCCUAUUCAAACCGGUAGUUAUUAAAAAAAACUCAUAUAGAUCAUAGUCUAGAUGCAGGGGAUUUCUUAAGAGGUCGCUUGUCGACUAAACCGUUGCUGAUCAGUGAAAUCACCGACAUUCUCUACCGGUUGUGAAUUGCAAGUUAGCAUUUUUGUUGAUGCUUGGCCUAAACAAGGAGGAUGAAGAAGACAAUAUGUGAUUAAAGGUCCUCUAAGUGAGUUAAGUGAACCUCAACAAGUUCAAGCACAUAGGGAAACCAGCAGCGGUAUUUCGUCAAGAACCUGUAUUCAUUCACAAUCGUUGAAAUCCUCAACAAAUACACUCAAGAAGACAAUACGCUAUGCCCCUUGCCUUACUAACAUCAAAGACAUGGCCUUUGGUUGUGGACAUCAGGUGGGAAGCUUUAAAUUGUGUUACUUUAUUAUAGUGGAGAGCGUGAUGAAUGAAGAAGCUGAGAAGUAAGUCUUUUAAAAGCUGCCGACAAUGAAGAAUAGGUAGGUUGAACCCAAAAAAGGCCCUCGUCCAUCUUUUGCACAACUUGUCUACAUAUCACUCUUCAUGUUAGUAUGCUAAGUUGUGAUAAAUUUUAAAUAGCACAACAUUUUGUAUAGCUUCGUUUUGUACACCUUUCAUAUAUAAGUUAGGCGAUGCAGCUAUGAAACGUCGGCGUAACAAAUACUUGGUUUUAUUUAGUACGGCUAUGAAUGGAUCCCCGCCGCAUCGCGCGGGUGAUAAAUCCUAGUUUAAAUUAAAUGGGUCUUAAGGGGCAUGGGUCCGGAUUAUUUAUGUGGGUCGGGUCAGGAUAUAACCCGAAUUGUAAAAAUAAAAAAAUAAAAACCACAUUAAAAUAAAACGAAUUGCAUGCCAGUAUCUGAUCAUCUCCUUCGUAAGACCCUAGACGCCAUUGUCAUCUUCAACCUCUAGUUUCGCCAAACCUGCACCAAAUCGAGUGGUUCUUGGGUGUAACUUGCUUAGUUUUUCGAGGAGAACAAAACCUCAGUGUUCGUUUUAUACGAUUCUCGCUCGUUUGUGAGGAAUCAGAGAAGGAAGGGACGAACCCUAAUUUUUAAAAUUGGGGGUUUUCGUUUUUUUUAGUUCCUGACGUUCAAUUUAGGUCCAAGCAAGUGUUUUCAGCAACAAAGGUAUGUGUUUCUCCACCGAAUCAUAUGAUUAGUAAGGUAUGAUCAGUAUAUGUCUUGAUAGUGAUGGUCAGGUAUUGCAAAUAAGAAUGUGGGUGCAUUUUUUUUUUUGUGUGUUAAUAAUGAGAUUGUGAUGGAUGCUAGGCUUUGUUGCUAGCACGGGGUAUCUCUAUGGCUACUAGCAGGUGUUAAUGGUUUAUCGAAUGUUCAUAAAAGCAAUUUUGUUGAUUCUAA